GAUGAACGCUAGCGGCAGGCCUAAUACAUGCAAGUCGGACGGGAUUUAGGAGCUUGCUUCUAAUGAGAGUGGCGCACGGGUGCGUAACACGUAUGUAACCUACCUUCAUCAGGGGGAUAGCCUCUCGAAAGAGAGAUUAACACCGCAUAACAUCAUAGAGCAGCAUUGCUUAGUGAUCAAAUAUUUAUAGGAUGAAGAUGGGCAUGCGGGACAUUAGCUAGAUGGUGAGGUAACGGCUCACCAUGGCGACGAUGUCUAGGGGAUCUGAGAGGAUGACCCCCCACACUGGUACUGAGACACGGACCAGACUCCUACGGGAGGCAGCAGUAAGGAAUAUUGGUC
rnacentral:rRNA from 1 species